GACGUCUCUAGAAGACAUCUGAAGAGAUUAAAGAUUUAUCGGUGAUGGAUGGGGAUGCGUCUGAUUAGCUUGUUGGCGGGGUAACGGCCCACCAAGGCGACGAUCAGUAGGGGUUCUGAGAGGAAGGUCCCCCACAUUGGAACUGAGACACGGUCCAAACUCCUACGGGAGGCAGCAGUGAGGAAUAUUGGUCAAUGGACGAGAGUCUGAACCAGCCAAGUAGCGUGCAGGAUGACGGCCCUAUGGGUUGUAAACUGCUUUUAUAAGGGAAUAAAGUGGGAGUCGUGACUCUUUUUGCAUGUACCUUAUGAAUAAGGACCGGCUAAUUCCGUG
rnacentral:rRNA from 1 species